GGGGCUGUAGCUCAGCUGGGAGAGCGCGUGCUUUGCAAGCAUGAGGUCAGGAGUUCGAUCCUCCUCAGCUCCAACA
rnacentral:tRNA from 1 species